UCCAGGGGGUGCAACCGUUGCUCGGAAUCAUUGGGCGUAAAGCGCACGUAGGCGGUCUGUUAUGUCGGAUGUGAAAGCCCUCGGCUCAACUGAGGAAGUGCAUCCGAAACUGGCAGGCUAGAGUACUAAAGAGGGUCGCGGAAUUCCCGGUGUAGAGGUGAAAUUCGUAGAUAUCGGGAGGAACACCGGUGGCGAAGGCGGCGACCUGGGUAGAUACUGACGCUGAGGUGCGAAAGCGUGGGGAGCAAACAGG
rnacentral:rRNA from 1 species